GCGGAAGGAUCAUUUACUGAGUUUACAACUCCCAAACCCC
rnacentral:rRNA from 1 species